ACGCUUACCUGGCAAGAGAGAUACCAUGAUCAUAAAGGUGGUUUUCCCAGAAUGAGAUGUAUCCAUUGCUGACCCUUGCAGCUUCCCAAAAUGUACAUAAGUCCUGGUAUUAGAGGACUGUAUUCCCACUGUCUUCUG
rnacentral:snRNA from 1 species